UUUGCCUCUGCGCCGCCACACGCGAGAGACGCCCCAUCCCAACCACCCGACUCCGCGUCUCCCGCCCGAGACCGGCCGCCGCCGAUGAGGGCCACGCCGGCGCUACCCCUCAGCCCGCCUUCCUCCUCUUUCCACUCUGUUCCCCUCGUUCUCUCUCCGCCCUAUGGUCAGCAGCGACCACCCAAGCUCGCCCCGAUCCAUUGCCCUCUCCUUUUGCCCAGCUUGGGUCCAUCGCCGGCCGUCCAUGGGGCGAGCGUUGCGCCUCCUCCUGAAGCUCCUAUUUUUGUGCCGCCCCGCCUGCACUGCCCACCAGCACCUACCGAGAACUCAUGGUCGCCUUCUGCCAAGCUGCCAGAUUGAUGGCCGACCGCCGCCAUGACCGACCUCAACCUUGUGCACGCCAUGGGCAGCGGCCAUGGAGGCCGCACCUUCAGCCUCUCGCUCGCCGCCAGCUAGGACCUCUAUGAACAUCUCAUUCAUCUAUAUCAAGGACCAAUCUACGUCACCUGAGGUUGACAGUAGUUCGGCCAGGGGCAUCACGACCACAUCCUGAUAUCCUCUGCCUUGGGCACGGUCACCACUGCUUUCCUUCCUUGGAGCAAAGAAUUAUGAGCUCUCCCGUACACGGCUGAAGCGCCUACAGAAUCAUGGGGUCAGGAAAGCAAUGAAAGUUAGCAACGGGAGAUCGUAGCGAUGUCUGAACGGCCGUCUGCUACUGAAGCUCGUCCACCAUCCUCUCUCUGAUGAGAUCAAAAGCCUCUUCGCUCCUUCACUAUGAGAGUAACGUCGAAUGUCGCCGGCGGAGGAAAAUCAUCCGACGAGCCGUCCAAUGUCAGGUCCACCGGCGAAAGAAGAACAUCCGUCGAGCCGUCCAUCGUCUGAGGUGGCUACACCAGAGGUAUGUCUCCCCUUGAAAGUUAAUCAGUGAUACAAGACCCUGUUUCAGUUUGCUAUUUGUGAAAAAUUGGCGCUACUUCCGAUUGCUCUUCAGAUUCUGUUUCCCCCCUUAGUUCUCUGUAUGUUCAUGUGCUUCCCAUUGAAUCUUCAGUUCUCAAAUUCAUUGCAACUUACAAGCAACCCUGAUGCAAAACCUAGAUGCCUAGAUUGAUGCGUAAAAAAAGACUAAUGACUUGCGUUUCAGUUUGGGACAUGCAUGGCUGCAUGUGCGUAUCUACAUCCACUCAUUGGUUCACUAGCACAUAUAGUGGUGUAUGGAUCAUUGCUCAUCUUCUGGCCAUACAAUUCCAGAAAAGAAAGAGUUUCGGCCAUAUCAUGCUCACAUUAGCAUCAAAAUAUUCCGAAUCAGGUAUUUCUGGAGCCAUCACCUAUGUCACCAACUAUGCCCGAAUCAGAUAAUUAGAGAGAUCGUGAUCCAUUGGCAUCACCUCCAUCCCCAUCUAGCUCGACAUCAUCUCAUGUUUUUUCAUUACAUGAUGUCAAGGAACCAGAUUCACAUAAAGAGAUCAAAGUCGAUGAGACAUAUGAUUAUCUCCCACAAGGUAUUUAUUUGAUUUAUUAUGUGUACUUUCAUAAAUUAUAAUCAGGAAAAUCCAAAGUAAAAUUGGUAUGUCAAAUAGUACAAUUCAUCUCGAAAUGUCAAAUGACUCAAAUUUCUGAUUCCAUUUUUGACAUCUAAACGCAUAACUAAUAUUGUUUUCCUACCAAUAUGCUUGUGUAGGGAGCCCAAUCGGUGGAGGUGAUUUGUCAAAGAGAAUUCUAGCAGCCAACAGUUAAUAGGCGGUGAGCAGGGAGACAAUGAACAUGUAGAGCUCGAAGUUUUUUUUUAGAAAGCAAAGCUGGAGUUUGGUUUGUACUUAAGACAUCACUUAAGAAGUUCUUCACCACAUGUAAAUUUUUUUGGAGCUUCGAAGGAUAUACAUUUUUGGGGUUGCCAAUUAUAAGAGUUAAUGGAGUGCUUUAAAAUUUGA